rnacentral:lncRNA from 1 species
CUCCGCUGGUCUUGGCUGAGCACAGCUGAGCUGAUCUUGACUGGGGCUCACCUACAUGUUGAGCAGCUGCUACUUGGCUGAUAUAUGUGGGCCUCAGCUGGGGUGAUAGGUCCUGAUUCAUAUGAUUUUUCAUCUUUCAGCAGGCAAGCCAGACCCAAGAAAGAGGAGAAGUGUGGAGGCCAUUAACUGAAUUCAUCAAAUGAAACCAUAGGCCACACCAUCCUGGUCUAAGACACCAAUUCUCCCCUGGACAUUUGCAAGCAUUGGACUUCUUUCCACUUAUGCUGCUUUACACAUCUAAUCUGCACAGAUCUGCCAGAUGGAUCCUUUUAGAUCCUAAGCAAAUUGCUCUCAUUCCUCCACUCAAAUUCCUCCAAUGAACGCCCAUCUCAGAGCAGAAGCCAAAGUGUUUUUGAGACCUUGAUCUUCAAGACCCUAUGUGUGGUAGCCUUCUUUCACCCAACCUUCCUACCACUGCCCCCAACAUAAACACUGAUUUCCAUUCACAGCAACCUCCUUCUAUUUUAUUGACCUGACAGUAAGCCAUGAAUGCCUCUGAAUCUUGGACUUAUUCUUCUCUCAUAAUCCACUGUGCCCACUCUCAGUUCUUUUCAAACGUUUUUUCCUCAAGGAGGCCUUCUCUGCCCAACCUAUAUGAACGAAUACCUCCAGCACUCGAUAUAACUUUUCUUCAUAGCACCUAUCAAUUCCUGAAUUAUUAUGUGUACAUUUAUGUUUGUAUGCAUCUCUUUCCCCCACUGGUAUAUGAACUCCAUGAGAAUACAGAAUUUGCUUCUUUUAUUCACUGCUUAUAGCACCCAGUGUCUACAACAGGGCAUAGCACAUAAUAGGUGCUUAAUGAUGAUUUGUUAAACUAAUGAAUCAAUGAAUAAAUAUCCUUUUGCUUGUGUUUAAAUUUGUUUAUUAUUCAAACCUCCCUGUAAAGAAUGAAUUGCUGUGAUGUCAAUGAAAGUUAAAUGGUAAUGAAAUGAAGACAAAUGUUUAAAUCUUAUUGAUGUAUUCCAGCACCCUUACCUGAUGUCUUGGCUUGUUUCAUGGUUGGCUCUCUUCUGAAUGUGAUUUGAAUAAUUUCAUCUAUGGUAACUAGAAUACUAAUUCAUAUUGUUCUAUUGAAAUCUUUUAUUGAACUCAUCUUUCUGUAUUUCCAGAUAAAUAACUCCAAA